UACGGAGGGGGCUAGCGUUGUUCGGAUUUACUGGGCGUAAAGCGCACGUAGGCGGAUUGGUCAGUUAGGGGUGAAAUCCCAGAGCUCAACUCUGGAACUGCCCUUAAUACUGCCAGUCUAGAGCCCGGAAGAGGUAAGUGGAACUCCUAGUGUAGAGGUGGAAUUCGUAGAUAUUAGGAAGAACACCAGUGGCGAAGGCGGCUUACUGGUCCGGUACUGACGCUGAGGUGCGAAAGCGUGGGGAGCAAACAGG
rnacentral:rRNA from 1 species